GAUGAACGCUGGCGGCGUGCCUAAUACAUGCAAGUCGAGCGAACAGACGAGAAGCUUGCUUCUCUGACGUUAGCGGCGGACGGGUGAGUAACACGUGGAUAACCUAGCUCUAAGACUGGGAUAACUUCGGGAAAACGGAGCUAAUUCCGGAUAAUAUAUUGAACCGCAUGGUUCAAUAGUGAAAGACGGUCUUGCUGUCACUUAUAGAUGGCUCCGCGCCGCAUUAGCUAGUUGGUAAGGUAACGGCUUACCAAGGCAACGAUGCGUAGCCGACCUGAGAGGGUGAUCGGCCACACUGGAACUGAGACACGGUCCAGACUCCUACGGGAGGCAGCAGUAGGGAAUCUUCCGCAAUGGGCGAAAGCCUGACGGAGCAACGCCGCGUGAGUGAUGAAGGUCUUCGGAUCGUAAAACUCUGUUAUUAGGGAAGAACAGAUGUGUAAGUAACUAUGCACGUCUUGACGGUACCUAAUCAGAAAGCCACGGCUAACUACGUG
rnacentral:rRNA from 1 species